rnacentral:rRNA from 1 species
GAUGAACGCUGGCGGCGUGCCUAAUACAUGCAAGUCGAGCGAACGGACGAGAAGCUUGCUUUUCUGAUGUUAGCGGCGGACGGGUGAGUAACACGUGGAUAACCUACCUAUAAGACUGGGAUAACUUCGGGAAACCGGAUCUAAUACCGGAUAAUAUUUUGAACCGCAUGGUUCAAAAGUGAAAGACGGUCUUGCUGUCACUUAUAGAUGGAUCCGCGCUGCAUUAGCUAGUUGGUAAGGUAACGGCUUACCAAGGCAACGAUGCAUAGCCGACCUGCGAGGGGGGUAGGCCACACGGGAAGGGAGACAGGGACAAGAGGACUACGGGAGGGAGCAGUAGGGAAGGGUAGGCAAUGGGGGAAAGCAUGACGGAGCAAGGCCGAGUGAGAGAAGAAGGUGUUCGGAGCGUAAAACUGUGUUAUUAGGGAAAAACAGAUGUGGAAGGAAAUGAGGAGAGAGUGACGGUAACUAAUAAGAAAGCAACGGCUAACUACGUG